GGGCCCAUAGCUCAGUGGUUAGAGCAGUCGACUCAUAAUCGAUUGGUCGGGGGUUCAAGUCCCUCUGGGCCCACCA
rnacentral:tRNA from 1 species